ACUAGCCCAAACAACUAAACAACCCAACUACCAAGCAAAAAUAAAACAAAACAUUUAAUCGCUUACUAGAGUAUAGGAGAUAGAAAUUUUUAACAGGAGCUAUAGAGAUAGUANNNUAANNAAAGAUGAAAGAACACCUAAAGUAAAAAACAGCAAAGAUUACCCCUUCUACCUUUUGCAUAAUGAGUUAGCUAGAACAACUUAACAAAGAGAACUUAAGCUAAGCCCCCCGAAACCAGACGAGCUACCUACGGACAAUCCCCAGGGAUGAACUCAUCUAUGUCGCAAAAUAGUGAGAAGAUCUAUAGGUAGAGGUGAAAAGCCAAACGAGCCUGGUGAUAGCUGGUUGCCCAGAAUGGAAUUUCAGUUCAACUUUAAACUUACCUAACAACCUAGAAAUUUUAAUGUAAGUUUAAAUUAUAGUCUNNNNNGGUACAGCUUUUUAGAUAAAGGAUACAACCUUACUUAGAGAGUAAAUAUGAUCGAAAGACCACAGUAGGCCUAAAAGCAGCCACCAAUCAAGAAAGCGUUAAAGCUCAACAACUGAGUUACCAUAAUACCAAGAAUCCCCCNAAAAUCAACUCCUAAUAUAAUACUGGGCCAAUCUAUUAAAUCAUAGAAGAGACAAUGCUAAUAUGAGUAACAAGAAUUUUUUUCUCCUUGCAUAAACUUAUAUCCGAAACGAAUAAUCACUGAUAGUUAACAACAAAAUAAGAAUAAUUAACCGAUAAAACACCUAUUAGCCCAAUUGUUAAACCAACACAGGAAUGCAACUAAGGAAAGAUUAAAAGAAGUAAAAGGAACUCGGCAAACACAAACCCCGCCUGUUUACCAAAAACAUCACCUCUAGCAUUACUAGUAUUAGAGGCACUGCCUGCCCAGUGACACGAGUUAAACGGCCGCGGUAUUCUGACCGUGCAAAGGUAGCAUAAUCAUUUGUUCUAUAAAUAAGGACUUGUAUGAAUGGCCACACGAGGGUUCUACUGUCUCUUACUUCCAAUCGGUGAAAUUGACCUUCCCGUGAAGAGGCGGGAAUAUAACAAUAAGACGAGAAGACCCUAUGGAGCUUUAAUUAACUAACCCAAUAGAAUUUAUUCAAUUAACCAAUAUGGGACAAAGUAAUUCUACAGUGGGACAGCAAUUUAGGUUGGGGCGACCUCGGAGUAUAGCACAACCCCCGAGUGAUAUAAAUCUAGACAUACCUGUCAAAACGAACUAUCAUAAAUUGAUCCAAAAAUUUUUGAUCAACGGAACAAGUUACCCUAGGGAUAACAGCGCAAUCCUAUUCAAGAGUUCAUAUCGACAAUAGGGUUUACGACCUCGAUGUUGGAUCAGGACAUCCCAAUGGUGCAGCAGCUAUUAAAGGUUCGUUUGUUCAACGAUUAAAGUCCUACGUGAUCUGAGUUCAGACCGGAGUAAUCCAGGUCGGUUUCUAUCUAUUAACCAGUCUCUCCCAGUACGAAAGGACAAGAGAGACAAGGCCCACUUCGACGAAGCGCCUUAGGACUAAUAUAUGACAUAAUCUUAAUAUAACCAGUUCAACUACACUAUUCAACCCGAGAACAGGGUUU
rnacentral:rRNA from 1 species